GACGAACGCUGGCGGCGUGCUUAACACAUGCAAGUCGAACGGAAAGGCCCUGCUUUUGUGGGGUGCUCUAGUGUCGAACGGGUGAGUAACACGUGAGUAACCUGCCCUUGACUUUGGGAUAACUUCAGGAAACUGGGGCUAAUACCGGAUAGGAGCUCCUGCUGCAUGGUGGGGGUUGGAAAGUUUCGGCGGUUGGGGAUUGACUCGCGGCUUAUCAGCUUGUUGGUGGGGUAGUGGCUUACCAAGGCUUUGACGGGUAGCCGGCCUGAGAGGGUGACCGGCCACAUUGGGACUGAGAUACGGCCCAGACUCCUACGGGAGGCAGCAGUGGGGAAUAUUGCACAAUGGGCGGAAGCCUGAUGCAGCAACGCCGCGUGCGGGAUGACGGCCUUCGGGUUGUAAACCGCUUUCGCCUGUGACGAAGCGUGAGUGACGGUAAUGGGUAAAGAAGCACCGGCUAACUACGUG
rnacentral:rRNA from 1 species